rnacentral:ncRNA from 1 species
GCAAGCCGGAUGCUGGGAAACUUGCUCGUCCGGUUUAGAGGGAGGCUGUUUGUAAUAAAUAUCAGAAGGAUAAAUUCUGAUAUGGAAACGCAAAUAAUCUAUCCCUAU